AUUUAUUGAACCCACUCCAUCACAAAGUUUUGACCUACACGGUCUUUGACAAAGACCAUGUAGGUCGAAAUGUUGUGAUGGAGUGGGUUCAAUAAAU